GUCAGUGUUCGUAAGGUAUUCCAUUUUGUUCGCAUCAAGCAAGUUCUCUGGGCCAAUGAAGGAAAUAAAGCUGGUGAAGAGAGUGUUAAUUUGUUCCUUAAGUCCAUUGGGCUGAGGGAGUACUCAAGAUACAUGAGUUUUAAUCAUCCUUAUAGCCAUGAAAGGCCCCUUCUUGGUCACCUAAGGUACUUCCCAUGGGUAGUGGAUGAAGGCUACUUUAAGGCAUGGAGACAAGGUAGAACAGGUUAUCCUUUGGUUGAUGCUGGUAUGAGAGAGUUAUGGGCAACUGGUUGGCUUCAUGAUCGUAUCCGAGUCGUGGUAUCUAGUUUCUUUGUGAAGGUUCUGCAGCUUCCAUGGAGGUGGGGGAUGAAGUAUUU
rnacentral:misc_RNA from 1 species